GACAGAGGGGGCAAGCGUUGCUCGGAAUUAUUGGGCGUAAAGCGCGCGCAGGCGGUCCUUUAAGUCUGAUGUGAAAGCCCACGGCUCAACCGUGGAGGGUCAUUGGAAACUGGGGGACUUGAGUGCAGAAGAGGAGAGCGGAAUUCCACGUGUAGCGGUGAAAUGCGUAGAGAUGUGGAGGAACACCAGUGGCGAAGGCGGCUCUCUGGUCUGUAACUGACGCUGAGGCGCGAAAGCGUGGGGAGCGAACAGG
rnacentral:rRNA from 1 species